UAAGGAUGUGCAGAGCUGUUCUGAAUACCUAAACUGUCUCUAGUCAUCCUAUCUAACUAGCCUGACUAAGGAUGCUGCAGAGCUGUCUGACUAAACUGUCUCUAGUCAUCCUAUCUAACUAGCCUGACUAAGGAUGUUGCAGAGCUGUCUGAGUAAAACAGUUUACCAGGCAUACUUUCACAAACUCUCUCUAUCCCUCUCUCUCCUCAUUGUGUUGUGUACAUUCCUCUCUCAUACGGUCCAUAAGGCCUGUGUGUAUCUAACCUAUAGAUCGUAGCUGGAAUGAACAGGCGCAAUGGAUUGUGGUCAUUGUAGUUAAUUACCACAUUUCUGCACUGAACUCUGCUGAAUAUUUGCUUCAUGAAAACUACAAAUAACUUCAGCCCAGCGUCCCACACGGUUCUUGACAUGAUUUCUGUCUAGAGAAACGGCGUGUUGGGCUCACACAAAGACUAAAUGGAAGUUAAGUAAUUGAACCACGUCGGUCAGUUAGUUGUUUAAUAACAGGGGAAAGUCAAUCGCUCAGCACUAGCAGACAAUGAGUGAUGAGGUUAUAAUGUGUUCAGAAAACAUUAUGUAAACAGCCUAAAAUUUUAGAAAUCACUGUUUUCUCUCCAUCUCUCUAGAUUUACUGUUUCCUCUCUAGAUUCACUGUUUCCUCUCCAUCUCUCUAGAUUCACUGUUUCAUCUCUAGAUUCACUGUUUCCUCUCCAUCUCUACUGUUUCCUCUCCAUCUCUCUAGAUUCACUAUUUCCUGCCAGAUUCACUGUUUUCCUCCAUCUCGGAGUAUGCACUCGUGUUUUCCUCUCCAUCUCUCUAGAUUCACUGUUUUCCUCUUCCAUCUCUCUAAUCACUGUUCCCUCUAGAUUCACUGUUUCCUCUCCAUCCCUACUGUUUCCUCUCCAUUUCUCUAGAUUCACUGUUUCCUCUCGAGAUUCACUGUUUCCUCUCCAUCUCUCUAGAUUCACUGUUUCCUCUCCAUCUCUACUGUUUCCUCUCCAUCUCUCUAGAAUCACUGUUUCCUCUCUAGAUUCACUAGACAAAUGUAAAACUCUUUCUCCCACAUUUCAUUUCCCUUUAGGCUUCCUCUCUAAAGUGUGUACCAGGUUGUUCAGUUGAUUGGCUAUGUCCUCUUCUCCUUUACUUCUGUCCAUUCUUCCUCUCCUCCGAGUCUCCUGCAGGUUGCUCGUCUUCUUCCGGGUCUUGCCGCUCUCCUUCUGAGGCAGAGGUGAGUAACAGACAGAGUUUAGGCAAUCAUGAAGACUGUUGUUGUUGUCCCAGUAAAAUAACUCUCCCAAGUGAUUAGGAGACCACUAAGAGUGAAAAACAGACUGAAGAUGUUUGAAGAAAUGACCCUGUCUUGUAAAGUGAAUGUCUGUGUGUGGAACAACAGCUUUCAGGGAGUCUAAAGGUAUCUCUCAACGAGAUCAAACUCCACCAUCAACACGGUGAUCAUUAACAGCCACACUAGUGUCUUAAAUAGCACAUUAAUCCCUUUAUAGUGCACUACUGUUGGCCAGGACCCUAUGAGCCCUGGUCAAAAGCACUGCAUAGGCAAUAGGGUACCGUUUGGAACAAAAGCAAUGACUACGGCAUCACAUCUAACUGGUUUAUCUGUGGCAGGGGUGACAAACCCUCCUCCUGAAGAGCUAUUGGAAGUGCAGAGGUUUGUUGCAACCCUGCUUUAACACACCUGAUUCUAGUAGUCUGCUGCUUCUCAGGUCCUUGAUCGGUUGAAUCACGUGUGUUAGGUUAUGUUAGGUUAAAGCUUACACAGCCAGUUGGGUCACCGAGAAUUAGGGUUUUAGAAUACUAGAAUGGUUUUGAACCUUCUUAUGAUGGUCCAAAAGUCAGCCAUGUUGGACAGGGAGUUGGUCAACGAUGGUGUUACCAGUACUGUGAUAAGAUAGUGUAAAAUAAUGUACUUGAAGAACAUAUCUGUAUGUUUGUUAGCUAGCUUAGCCAGUCAGUUUUAGAGGAAUGACCCCAUUAUUUAUUUCUAAUUAACUGUCAAUAUUCCAUUCAAACAAAUGCUGUCAAUCAACAGCCUGGAACUGAAUAAAAUCAGUUUAUGGGACUUAGACAAGAUGUAAAUGCAACUGAUAUUGUAU
ensembl:lncRNA